rnacentral:misc_RNA from 1 species
GAACGGCCAGCCCAACGUCAAGGCGCUCGUCUACGUGGACGGCUUUACGCUUGAUGAGGGUGAGACUGUGGCCGCGAUCUCCGAUCGCUUUCCGGGCGAGAAGCUCCGCCCUGCGCUCGCUCCUCCCGUUCCACUCGCGGAUGGCGGCGAGGA